rnacentral:rRNA from 1 species
CAAGGAAUUUUCCCCAAUGGGCUAACGCCUGAGGGAGCAACGCCGCGUGGAGGACGACGGCCUUCGGGUUGUAAACUCCUUUUGCACGGGAAGACGUGGACGGUACCGUGCGAAUAAGCCCCGGCUAACUCUGUGCCAGCAGCCGCGGUAAGACAGAGGGGGCAAGCGUUGUCCGAAAUUACUGGGCGUAAAGGGCGCGUAGGCGGCCAUACACGUCGCUGGUGAAAGCGCUCGGCUUAACCGAGCGAUGUUUAGCGAUACGGUGUGGCUGGAGCCAUCCAGAGGUCGGUGGAAUUCCCGGUGUAGUGGUGAAAUGCGUAGAGCUCGGGAGGAACACCAGUGGCGUAAGCGGCCGACUGGGGAUGUGCUGACGCUGAGGCGCGACAGCGUGGGGAGCGAA